AUACUUACGUCGAAGGGUAUGCAGUAAUAAUUUGUUCCCUGUUAUAGAGAGCUGGCGGUUGGUGAGAGUCAGUACAAAACAAAUUGUGAAUUACGUCCUGGAGUUUCUUCUGCUAAAUCAGAAGACGGUUCUAACCGUUAUAUUUCCGAGUGGUAACAGAAUAGUUGUUACAACAAGGGUGGUACCGCGAGAUGAAUCUCGUCCCUUUU
rnacentral:ncRNA from 1 species